UACAGAGGGUGCGAGCGUUGUUCGGAAUUAUUGGGCGUAAAGGGUGCGUAGGCGGUUCGUUAAGUCUGUCGUGAAAUCCCCGGGCUCAACCUGGGAAUGGCGAUGGAUACUGGCGAGCUAGAGUGUGUCAGAGGAUGGUGGAAUUCCCGGUGUAGCGGUGAAAUGCGUAGAGAUCGGGAGGAACAUCAGUGGCGAAGGCGGCCAUCUGGGACAACACUGACGCUGAAGCACGAAAGCGUGGGGAGCAAACAGG
rnacentral:rRNA from 1 species